GCGGUGUGUGGGCCUCUCCUGGGCUCUUUUCCCCGCUUUCCCGGAUGGCAGCUUUGUCGUCUCCCUCGGAACGCUGGCUUUCCCUGCCCCAGCACGGAAUGACAAAGGAAGCAUCCUGCUUCCCCAGGCUCCUCGUGCCGGAGCAAGGGAAUGACUUCAGAGCUGUCACGGCUGUCGUUAGCAAGGAUCGCCUGUACUUCAAACCCUGCCAUGAGAAAGAUGGCACCAACAGACAUGAGAAAUUCAAACAACCUUGAGUCAUUGUAUCCUACAAGGCAACUUUUCAAAGGGCUCUCAAGAAUUCCUGAUUAUUCGGCCUCAAUUUUGUUGCUUUGCCACCAAAACCACCUCUGAGAAAGCCACAUGUUAAUCAGGUAGAUGAAUUUAAGCUAAAUGUUGCCUACGAAUUCUUUGAUUUUCCCACUGGAGUUUUCUCCAUGUGGAAUCUGCUCCCUGCUCACCAACAUCACUGUGAGGCCUGGGCUGGUGAAAGGAGUAAAACUUGUAUAGAAAGAUGUUUUAUUAUUUUCAGAAGCUGGUAUUCUGAAAUAAAUGGUUCACCCUGCUCUCUCAGAGUCAUUUCUGACAUACUUCAGGCACAUAUUUAACAUCAAGGAGUGAACCCUUUAUCCCCAACCUUAACAUUUUUCUCCACUAUGGGAACAGCUAAUGCACAAAAGUAACUUUCCUCAGUGUUAUCUUCAAAGUUGGGAACAUAUUUAGUUGCACAUUACAAUAACUCCAUUCAUAUUUCAUGAAUUUUUAAGUUCAGCCUGUGAGCAUGGACAGCUCAUGACUGAUACAUCAGGGAAAUGCUGUGAAAAAACAAGAAAUUUAUUGUGGUUUUAGCAUAUGAGAUUGCUGCAUGGUUCCCUCAAGGAUAUUAAAAAGAUCUGUGCCAUGGUUAUCAAUAAAUAUCUUUCAGGAUCAGCAUUUAUAAAGCUUCUAGAAUGGCUUCAGCUCUUGACUGACUUCAGAAAUUAAGGAACUUACUCGCAAAAAGCAAAAUCAUAGCUUAAAGUCAACUACUCUUCAGUUUUCCUGCUUUGAACUUCAAUAUUCAUCUUGAUGACCAGAACCUAAUUCUUAAGUAAUUUUAUUAUUAGAGCUGGUUUGAAAAGCUUCAGCUUAUUUCUUAAAAACCAGGGGGGAAGGGAGAAGAGCAAGAGGAGCAAAUUCAUUGGAGUUUUGAUAAAUCAUCAAAAAAUCAGAAAAUCCAUUUUAAAUAUUGACUCGUAUCAUUAGAAAAUACAUUCUCACUUAUUUCUUUUUUAUUACAGAAGAUACUUACAUGGCCUAAGUUAUUUCAGCACCUAAUCAUCCCCCGAUAGUUCUUGAGCCAGGGAAAACCAUUUGCUGGUUUGUUACACCAGCAAACAAAAAGAUACCUGUAGACCUUUGGAAAAAAAACACAGAAUCCCAGAAUUGCAAAGGACCUCAAAGCUCAUCCAGUGCCACUCCUGCCAUGGCAGGGACACCUCCCACUGUCCCAGGCUGCUCCAAGCCCUGUCCAGCCUGGCCUUGGGCAUUGCCAGGGAUCCAGGGGCAGCCACAGCUGCUCUGGGCACCCUGUGCCAGGGCCUGCCCACCCUGCCAGGGAACAAUUCCUGCCCAAUAUCCCACCUAUCCCUGCGCUCUGGUAGUGGGGAGCCAUUCCCUGGGGUUUAAAUUCCCAAGGAAACCAAGAGGUGACACAAAGGACCCAGCCAGGAGGAAAGCCUUUAGGAGCCUUCAGGACAAGAGGUCAUUUUGUCACCAGACCCCUGAGUCCCAGGCUGACACACUCAGCUGCUGGGCCCUGAGCAGCACCACAGUAUGGCCAUGCCUGUGGGGAGCAGGGGAAUGCUGAAAGAUCCCAAAGCCAAAUUGCACCAUCCCUGUUCCUAUUAACAUCCUGACUGCCUUCCCCAUGACUGUCACAAGUGCAGGUCUGACACUGCAGCCAAGACAAAGCCCAGAACUCAACAUCCAGACAAAGCCCAGAAGUCAGUUUGUUUGCAUGGAGGAACCUGUCAGGGCUCAGCUGUCUCCCCAAAAGCCUGCUCUUGCUUCCUGUAGCAAUCUGGCCUCUCCCACCUCAGAGGAGAGCCCACAAACGGAGUAUUCCCUCUUGGCUGCCUCUUGAGCCUGGCUCUGAGGACCUGCUGGAUGCUACAGCUCAUGCUCAAGAGGGACAACUUAUCCCCUGAAUUACACCAAGUACUCAGCUUAGGGUCAAGGCUCAAAGCCUUUCCUGAACCCUCCUUGGCUCUGCCCAUGCUCCUGCUCCCCCCAGCAGGACCAUGCUGGGCAGGAUGAGAGUCCAAAGUCACGGAGACUGCACUGAAGGUACAAAUCCAAGGCUUGGCAAUGGUGCAGCCAUAGAUGCCAAUGGAAAACUGACCCCGUUCUUUUAUUCCUUAUCCAUGAGAACC